AUCCCUACGAGAGAGAGAGAAUCCCUACGAGACAUAGAGAAUCACUGUGGGAGAGAGAGAGAGAAGAGUAAGACGCUCUCCCGCUCCCAGAGAAGUGGAGACUUCAUUCCCGUGCUCUUUUCCCCUUCCUCUCCUUCCCCUCUGUUUUCCUCCUUCUCAUCUCUCUCUCUGUGUCAGGGUGUGUCAGCAGCAUUAUGCCUGCAGUGUUCCUACUGCUCAGAACCUUCCUUUCCAGUAGUAUGAUAGGAUCCCUGCUCCAGUUCCUCAGGAGAACUCUGUCCUCAACCUUCAGCCACGUGGGAGCCGCGCUGAGAUACGUCUGGGACAGGAUCAGCUCUCAGGAGUCUAAAGAAGCCAUCCUGGGCUGUGUGCUGUGUCUCCUUAACAUGCACAAGAAGGUGGAUCAGCCAGCAGCUGAGUCUCACUGAGUCACUCUCUUGGCUUUUCUUCCUCUUCAGAAAGAAAAAGAGAGCGGACGAGAGAGAGAACAAGAGAGAGGGAGAGAGAGAACGAGAACAAGAGAACAAGAGAGACUUGGGAAGAGAGGAAGCUCUCUCUACUGAGCUCUCUCCACUUCCCUUUCUGUUCACUCAACCUCCACUUGUUUACUGCCGGAGGGAGAGAGAGAACAAGAGAGGGAGAGAGGGAGGGGGAAGUGAGAGGGAAGGUUUCAGACUUUUCAUUAGAGCUCAUUUGGACUGUAGUAUUUUUCUGACUGGAGUGCUCAGAGCAAAGCGCCCAGAUUCAGGUGAAUGAGACUGUCUGUUUACGUAUCGGAUUGUAUCGUACCGCUGGGCUGGUGCUGACCACGUCAGAAAGCAUCGUCAGGGAGGUCCAACCUUUCACCAUCGGGACCAGGCUGUCUGUCUCUGGAUCUGCUACCAGGUCCAGACUUCCCCCAGAAGCCCUCCUGCCAGAGCGGGACUCUGGAUAAUAUCACCCUGCAACCUCCACGACCAAGUCUCCCUCUACCUCAGCCAGGUGCAGAUCCAUCAGGAAGAUCUCCAUCUCUGGAAGCCCUGAGGAGGAGGACAGCUCCUGGAGGAGACAGCAGUCAGAUCACAGGGUGGUCAUUGAGAAGGAGUACAGCUCCAGGAGGAGACAGGAGAAGUUAGACCACAAGGUGGUCAGUAUGGGACCAGGACCGGGAAGACCCCCUGUCACAGUGACCAGAAAAAUCUGAAAACAUCAACGACAACAACAUCAGCAGCUCCAAGCCACAGCUGCCCAGGAUAGUGGGGGUCAGCUGUUAGAAUAUAUAAGCUGCCCAUGAUAGUGGGGGUCAGCUGUUAGAAUAUAUAAGCUGCCCAGGGUAGUGGGGGUCAGCUGUGAGAAUAUAUAAGCUGCCCAGGAUAGUCAGAGUCAGCUGUGAGAAUAUAUAAGCUGCCCAGGAUAGUCAGAGUCAGCUGUGAGAAUAUUACCCAGUUCACAUUUUAAGGUAAGA